CCAGCGCCGGUCCCGCCUCCCGUGGCCCGCCGUGGCCCCUGCCCUCACCUCGGGGUCCCUUUCUCACCUCGGGAUCUCUCCCUCACCUCAGGGUUUCUUCUUCAUCUCUGGGUCUCUCCCUCACCUCGGAGUCCCUUCCUCACCUCGGGAUCUCUCCCUCAUCGGGGUUCCCGCCCUCACCCGGGGUCCCUCUGCCCUCAGGGCCGUUCCCUCCCUCACCCGGGGUCUCUCCCUCGCCCGGGGUCCCUCUCUCCCCUCAGGGCCGUUCCCCCUCACCCUUGGCCGCCUCCCCGGCGGGAAGGGGCGCCGAGAGCUGCGGUCGGAGCUGCCCCUCACGGCCCCGGGGCUGUGCCCGCAGCUGCCAAAGGUGAGGACGCGGCGCUGGCUCGGCUCGUCCCCAGAGGGCAGGCACUGAUGUCAUGAGAAGGAAGCACAUAACCAGAGCUGUGCGAAGCACUCGCAAUAAAACCCCAAACCAUGGAAAACUUGCCUCAUCUGUAACUCCACUAGCAGGAAAGUAGAACCAGCUAAAAAUUGUUACUAUCCCAUGGCUGCUGAUGAGGAAGGAGCUGCACUAUUCAUCCUCCUUCAUAGUAAACAAGAAUCCACUGCAAAACCUGAAGUUUUCAUCUCAAGGAGAAUCGCAAAAUGAUUGUUUUUAAAGCUGAUGCUGCUCUUUAAUACAGAGCAACUGUUGAUACCAAAGCAGAUGCUCCUCCUGGGAUCCCAUGGACCACUCACAGCAGGCUGCAACUACCAGAGCUCUUUCUCACGACACCUCCCUCCUGGCCAGCAAGUUCUGCACGUAUUCCAGAUCCUCUGGACUGCUUUGUCACAGAUAUUUGACAACAUUUUGUUUCUUCUGGAACUCCACGCACAUUUAAAACUUUUAUUCCCACUCCUCCUAAAAGUCCCAUCCCUCCUUUUCUUCUUUUCUCUGUUUGAACUCGACUAAUGGUGGGAAAGGAGGGACGGGUUGCAGUUUGUUUUGGGUAGGUGGCUCUGGCUCUCCCUGUGACAAGUGUGUGUAUUGCAGAGUGAGAUCUCGGCUUCACUGACAGAGAGUUUUCUUAGCCCGUCCUGUCUGUGUAUUUUAUGUACACAGACACUCUGGUCCUGCAGAGGAGAGGUGCAAAUUCACUGCUCCUUGUGUGCAGGCAGAACCUGUGCUGCUUUUGGGAAGGGCAGGGUUAAAGUGCCAUCCUGGGACAGGAAUGCUACAACAGGAAUUAGCAGGUAUGCUGGGGAGCCUGGAAGCAGGUAAGGCAGCUCACUGGAGCUGCUGCUAACAGAUCUGCAAGGAAAGAUAAACAAGGUGCAGAAAAGAGAGAGGGCUGAUGGAUUAAUCUGUGCUUAUGUGUGGUAUAAUCUUCACAUUCAUCUACAGAGGCCAUGAAAAGACCUGCAAGACUUUGGGGGGAGAUACUGAAACGUGAAUGAAAUCACGUGAGGAGGGUUCAGAUUCUGAAGGGAUCAAAUAAACCCUGACCUUCUUCCAGGGUGACUGUGACUCCUGGUGUUCAGCUGUGCAGCUGCUCUCACACUUGGACA